CAAUAUUUCAGGAUCCUUCCAUGGACCCUUGUCAGAAGUCAUGCAGCCGCCUUUGUCAGCACAAUUACAGGUACCGCCCAAAAACUCUGGCAGCUCACUGUUGAAAAAAAAAAAAUGUUUGAACAUCAUUAUGAGAAACUCUUCCCCACCAAAAACUGAUAAGACAUUAGGCAGGUUAGCUUUGGUCGACAGAAACAGGAAUGGAUUCGAUUGGUCAAGAAGGCACUCACUUAGCAUCAAUUACUUCAAGCAAUUUGCUCUGGUAUUUGUUACCCAAAACCUGGUGAAUAUAGCAUAAAGUUGUUUAGCAAAAUUUUUGGUAUCACAAUCUGAUCUUGUUCAGGUAAAUUAGUGAUUCUUACUUACAUGGAUUUUUGCAGUGGUCUUUGGGUCAAGGAACGAUUUAACUGUGCUCCAUAAGAGCCUAAAUCCAGAGCCAGCAUUGAUGAUAAACAUGCGGUUCAGAGUCUACAAUAUAGAAAUAUUCAAUUAGCUUCAUCUUGACUGAAAAAACUUCAUGCUAGAAGUAGACCAAGAAUCUCAGGGACACAUUAGUUUGAUCUUAUGGAGUUAAU
rnacentral:lncRNA from 1 species